UACGUAGGGGGCAAGCGUUGUUCGGAAUUACUGGGCGUAAAGGGCGCGUAGGCGGCGUGACAAGUCACUUGUGAAAUCUCCGGGCUUAACUCGGAGCGGCCAAGUGAUACUGUCGUGCUAGAGUGCGGAAGGGGCUACUGGAAUUCUCGGUGUAGCGGUGAAAUGCGUAGAUAUCGAGAGGAACACCUGCGGCGAAGGCGGGUAGCUGGGCCGACACUGACGCUGAGGUGCGAAAGCUAGGGGAGCGAACGGG
rnacentral:rRNA from 1 species